rnacentral:misc_RNA from 1 species
GGAAAGAUCAACAGAUAACAAAGCAUCACAAGAGUUAUAAAAACUCCCUGCCACUUGUUAUUAACAUACGUUCGAUAUUUAUCACAUCUUCAACUUCUCUUUGCAGAUUUUGUUGAUAUGGCUGAUGUUGCCCGAGCUGGUAUGCAUGCUCUCUCUCUUUCUCAUUCAUUUAAAAAAAAAUGCUUUCUUUUUCUUUUCUUUCACCAGAAAUGAACUUUGUUUUCGAUCUUAGUCAGGCAAACUUUCUUUCUUUUUGAUAUAAUUAAGUGCUAGUAUCAUUUAUUAUUAUUCAUGAUCAAUAUCAGAUAGGUUAUCACCACUCGAUUAUAAAGUCGAUAUACACAACUUUUCAUUAAUUAAGGACAUGGGAAAAUACAAUUCAGCAGUUUUUGAAGCUAAAGGCUACAAAUGGUACUAUUUCUUGCUUGCAUGUCACUCUUCUUGCCUCAUUAUUCGUGGGAUGCAGUUAUUUUUUGGUUUUAAGUUCUGCAUAAUUAUAAAUUCUCUGGUCAUAGGAAAUUGGUUCUCCACCCAAAUGGAAACAAAAGCAAGAAUGUGACAGACCACAUCUCUCUCUACUUAGCAUUGGCAGACCCUGUUAAGCUUGGUUUCGAAGUUCGUGCAGUUUUUCACUUGUAUUUGUAUGAUCAUCUUAAAGAAGAGUUCUUGAAACCAUCAGGCAUAUCUUAAAACCAAGCUUCACAAAGAUUUCAGUUUAACGAUUUCAGCAAUUUCCAAAGUUGUGAACAAAGCCAAAAUUGUGGUACGUACUUUUUAAUAUUUUAUUGAUUGUUGCAGGAACAGAUGCUGAGGAGAUGAAAGGAUGCUUUCACCUAUUGAAUCGUGAAUGUGGUUUGGAUAAAUUCGUUCAUCAUAGAGUAUUUAGUGAUUCCAGGAGUGGUUUCCUCAAGGAACAAGAAGCUUGUACUUUUGGAGCAAAGGUGGUCUCUGUCAGCGAAGUUCGGACAACAGGCAGAGGAGAGUCCUUGUCAAUGAUAAAGAAAGACCUUCCUACUACCUACAAAUGGAAGAUUGAGGAAUUCUCUACCAAGCGAAAAGAAGAAUGCGUUGAUUCCCCAGUAUUCACUGCUGGGAAACAUCGCUGGAAGAUACAGCUCUAUCCUAGGGGAGAAGGCCUUGAAAAUGACACCCAUGUUUCUCUAUAUUUGGCUUUGGAAGAUCCCACAACCCCUGUUCCUAGCUCUAAAACAUAUGCAGCAGUCACAUUGCGCAUUCUGGAUCAAUCCAAGCAUAAACACAUCAGUCAUAAAGAUAAUUUCUGGUUCAGUCCCUCAAGCCCAAAUCAUGGAUGGCGAACGUUCAUUUCAGUUGGUGAAUUUGAUCGAUUGAAACAACGGCUUGUGGCCCGGGACACUUGUUAUGUGGAAGCAGAGAUUUAUCUUGUAGCAGAGACUGAAGAAUUUUAAUUACUGAUGAGGGAAUGUGGCAGUUUUCAUGUGUCUUCUCAUCGCAUGUAAUUGUCACGUUUAACACAUGAACAAAUAAUAUGCAAUUACCAAAUAAUAAUUAUUAAAAAUAUGAUACUAAAAAAAAUAAUAUUUAUAGCAGUAGAUAAGUAUAAAUUAAAUAUAUUAACAGUUAAAAAUUAGGUGUAACUGAAGCGGAGGUCAAAUCAGUAAAAGCAUUUUUAUUGAUGGAAUUGAGAGCACGGUUUCCUUGAAUAAAUAUCGCGGUCCGGAACAACCAGAGCCACUCAGCCGGGGUUGGUGGUAGUUUGACUGGGCUUUGGUUUGGUUUGG